rnacentral:rRNA from 1 species
CGAGUGGCGAACGGGUGAGUAAUGCAUCGGAACGUGCCCAGUAGUGGGGGAUAGCCCGGCGAAAGCCGGAUUAAUACCGCAUACGACCUACGGGUGUAAGGGGGGGAUCGCAAGACCUCUCGCUAUUGGAGCGGCCGAUGUCAGAUUAGGUAGUUGGUGGGGUAAAGGCCUACCAAGCCUACGAUCUGUAGCUGGUCUGAGAGGACGACCAGCCACACUGGGACUGAGACACGGCCCAG